rnacentral:lncRNA from 1 species
GAAAGUGAGUUUUUCAAGUUUUGAACACUCUUACGAUUUUUCAUAUACUACUAAAAGUCCAAAACCUAACGUUACUAAAACACGUUUGGACGUUACUCCUUCCACCUCCCCAUUUUCAUCCUCCACCCCCACCUCUUCAUUCUUUUUUUACUUUUCUUUAAUUACAACAAUAACCUUUUAUUAUUUUUUUCUUUUACUUUUUUAAUCCUCUAAAACCCUAACUUUUUACUUUCUACUUACUUUCACAGACUUCCAUAGAACACCACCUCCCCUUCUCGAUUUCUCAUCCUACGCUCCAAGUUCCAACUCUUCUUCUGUCCUCUUUUCUUUUGUGUGUUCGGUGGGUGCGGUGGGUGACAGGUGGUGGUGCGACGGGUGGUGGUGAGGCGGCUCUGUGCGGUGCGGUGGUUGUUGAUUCGGUUUGUUUCUGCUUGCAGGUGUGUGUGGCGUUGCGACGAGUGUAUGCGGCGGUGCGACGCGGUGUGUGCAGCGGUGUGGCACGGUGAUUGUUGCUUUGUUUCGUUUCUACGACAGGUUGGUUUCUUAAUUUCUUUCGUUUCUUGCCCAUGAUAUAAGUUUGUAUUCAUUUCUACUUUUUUUCUAAUGUAUGAAUACAGUGUUAAGAUUGUAUUGAUUUAUGCUGCUCUGUGUGCUCUGUGUUGCUCUAUUUUUUAUUUUGACUGUUGAGAUUUUUGUGUCGAAAGAGGAAUAAGACGUUCACGCCUAAACGGAUGUCACAUCCGUUUAACCCUGAAACGGAUGUCGAUAUCCGUCGACGGAUGUCGGUAUCCGAUUAAAGAAGUUUCACAGAAUAGAAAAAAUAGAACAAAGGAUAAAAAUAGAAGAAGGAGGUGUAGAGAGCAAGUGAGGAGGUGCAGGGAGCAAUGCCCAACACGUUUUCGUAAGUUUCAUGUUUAGGCCGAAUCUCUACACUUAACCUGAGGAUACGGCCCAGUGUCUGAAUUUAUUUAAUUAUUUUCUUAAUUUGAAAAUAUAACUUUAGUUCGUAACGACUAAAGUAUGUAUUUAAUAAUGACAGGGUGUGAACAGAAAAAGCCCAAAAUAAAAUUCAUAAAGAAAAACAAGCCCAAUCGUAAAAAGUUUUAUAUCAAUAAAAAUAUAAAAUAUUGUAUAUGAUAAUAAAGAUAAUUGAGUCAGUACUUUCUUUAUUAAUAUGGUUGUAUUUAUUGAUUUAUUGAAUUAUUAGAUAAAUGACGUAUAGUUACCUAAACCAAAUUUUAUUUUCCAGAUAAUCAAUUAUCAUAUUAUAUGAAUUUCUCCGAGCUAUUUGGUAAUAAGGAUAUCUUUAAUAAUAUAAUUAAUUAGUUCUGAACAUUUUAGGAAUCUAUUAAGAGUAUAUCAGGAUACGAGUAUUUCAAGUGCUUGAGGUUUUCGGCCGAUUAGACACAAGAUAAAUUAAAUUCUUAAAAUGUGUGUGUGUGUAUAUAUAUAUAUAAACAGUAAAUUAAAAGAAAAUUAACUAUAACAUUGUAAAAAGUACUGUGGUAUUACAGUUCUGUAAAAUAAUUGUUAAGUUAUAAUUAACUUCUAAUAAUGAUGAAUCCUUAACUUAUGUGAUAUGUUUUAUAUUUGAGUAGGUGGUGUAGUUAGUAAGGAGGGUUUAAAUCUUGAGUUGCUAAGUUUUGUUUUUUGGAAACAGGACCAAAAUAAGAGGUGUACUUAGGAAAAAGAAGCGCGUCCAUAUGUAUUUUGGAAGACCCUAUACACGUUUUCCUACAUUCCUUCCCUCUCCUCUUUCAAGGACCCAAGUGCAAUUUCUAUCUUUGGAGCCUUCAACCUUGUGAAGAAAGAGUAUAUUUUCUAUUUUGGAGAAUGACUUUGGCAUAAUUUUUUUUCUUGAAUAAUCUAUGCAUAUGUUAGAGUACUCAUUUUUUAUGAUUUGAUUUUUAGGUUUUGGACUUUUUAAAAUAUAUGUACCUUUUUUUAAAAUCGAAGACAAAAUCAAUGUUUAGGAG